rnacentral:lncRNA from 1 species
UAAAGUCCAAAUUAGGGACUAAAAUAUUUUUUUUUUCAAGUUUCCUAUCCCUAUUAGUAGACUUUAUUUGAAAGAAACUAGAAAUGUUCUCGUGUUAACCAAUUUCCUCAUAACUUAUCAACUGAAAAUAUAGAGUUUAUUAUAAUUAUUCCUUGUCUAUAUAUUUUAAAAGGGAGGAAAAAGCUCUCUCGCAGCCUAGAAAGAAGCCACAUGGCAUAAGUAGUUUCCCCUCUCUCUCUCUCUCUAACGGCUAUUUCUCUCUCUUCUCUCUCCUCCUCGAUCCCUCUCCUCGUCUGAAGCAACCACUGCCGGUUCCGACAGGUAAGUCCCCCCCCUUCCUCUCCUUUCUCUCUUUUCUCUCUUCUCUCUCUCUUCUCUCUCGCCUUCUCCGACCAUACAGUGCUGUCGGAGCACUGUUCCGACAACCCACGGUGGUCGGCCUUUGUCACCUCCCACACUAUCGAGGCACCCAACGUCAGGCGCACACCCCUGGCAAUUUCCGUCACCGGAUUCUGCCUCACGCACCACCUGUGCUCACCUAUGCGCCGCCGCUGUCAGACACGCGCCGGGCGCGUGUGACCAUUUCCUGUCACCAGAUUCUGCCUCAUGCGCCACCUGUGCCCACCCACGCGCCCCGCUGUCAGACACGUGCCGGGCGCGUGUGACCAUUUCCGGCCACUUUUCCGCUGGCUCCUUUUACACAGUGUUACUCCCUCACUGUUCCGACCAACCCGGUAACCCCGAAAUUUUUCUCGGGCCACUUUGGUUACCUACUGUUCACUGUUCCUUUCACAGUGUUACAUUUGCAGGUUUGUUACUCAACUUUACAAUUUCACGUGUUCUGUUAUUGCCUAAGUGAAAGGAAUCUUAAUUUCUUUCAGUUUAGAGGUUUUGAACUAUCGCUUUUCGUCGGAAAUUUUUCUGGCAACUCCCGCGCUUUUCGUUCCAUUAUUUCCGCU